UAGUUUAGGAUGGCCUCGGAUUAUACUA
rnacentral:piRNA from 1 species